UUCUUCACUUAGAAAAGAUUUUAUUCAUUAUUUUUAAUUAUAACAUGGCUCUGUUAAGUAUUCAAAUCAGAUUGUUCAGUAAGUGUUGAUUGAUUUCCUAUAGCAGCAGCUCUGUCAAUAAAUCUGGCUGUAAUUAAAGUUUAUAUUAAUGCACUUGUUCUAAUGUUAUCCUAUACUUUAUAUUAUUAUACAAUUUCUGUCACAGGAGAGUCUCGAGAACAGAAGACUUUGUGCUUUCUGGUUUCUCUGUAACAUGGCAAGUCUUAUUAACUCAAGAGAGAAAAGACUGUUGAGGGAACAACUGUUAUAACCAUUUCAGAAGACCUACCAUCUAGAACACAGUAGAUGUGCAUCUGAGGAAACCACUGCCCAUAUUGACAGGUGAUGUAUUUGUAGUCAUUCACUAGAGAAUAGCCAGGAUCACAGUAGAACUCCACCACAGUCCCAUGGAUAUAGCGGUUACAUGG